ensembl:misc_RNA Metazoa_SRP Metazoan signal recognition particle RNA
GCCGGGCAUGGUGGCUCAUGCCUGUAAUCCCAGCACUUGGGAGGCUGAGACGGGAAGAUCACCUGAGGUCAGGAGUUCAAGACCAGCCUGGCCAACAUGGUGAAACCCCGUCUCUA